UAUUGCUCUAAGCUUAGGAGACAAGAUCACAAUCAAACAGAAGGGAGGUUCUUAGAAGAAGAAGAAGAAUUAACCACCAGGUUUUACUUUUUAUGAGCUUGCGUUUAUUUUUGGAUCAACCGUCUCUUAUUCCGAUUUCCAAAACUACCUUUCGCUUGCAAUAAAUACCAAUACUUCCUCCUUUAGAACAGCACCACACUCGAGUCGCUCUUGAUACAAAGAUUUCUUUCACUUGUAUUGGAAUUUGGAAAGAAAUGUUUAGUUAGCAGUCAGUUAUUUGUGUAUGGGUUACAUAUUUACUUUCGAACUCUAUUGUUUUAUCACCAUCUUUCACCAUUUUAUCACCUGCUACCAUUUAUCCAUUGGUCAUAUUUUGGAUUUUGAGAUUUUGGAGAGGCAUUCUUGCCCGAGUAUUAAAGUCUCAUUAAUUUACCGAGGAUUUAGUUUAUCAACAUAUUUCAACAUCAAUUGACAAAUCAUACUUUUUUUUUAAAAAAAAUUCACAUUAAUGAAAUGAACGACUCAUUUCAUCUCACAAAUCCAACGGUUAUGACUCAUCAUCAUCCUUAAAUAGUCUCACCAUCAAUAAGUAUUAUUAGAUGUUUCUUUUAUCUAAAUAAAUAAAUAUAAGUGUUAACUGUUGAGAAAUGAUAUUUUAUAUAGUUGGGACUUGGGAUAAGCGGUGUUUAAAAUUUAAAUAGAAUGUUAAAUAUAAAGAAUCGUAAUAUGGUUAGAAUUAACAGGACUUAGAACACCAUUAAAGGUCAUGGUAAUACCUAAAUGGAUACUUUGAAUGUUUUGAUGCUAAAUUAAACUAGAUCUUAGAUUACUUGUGAAGGUUUAAUUUAUUCAGAAAUAUAGAAAUUGAUGGUGUAUAGGCUUACAAGUUAGUCGCCACACACGCACAACAAUCUCUCUUGCACAAGGUGAAGUAUUCUCUCUAUUUUUCAACCACUUCCCUUGUUGGACUUCGUUCAUGGACUUCCUGAACCUCCAUCGGCUCAGCCCCGUUGUUCGGGCGAGGAAGACUCAUGGUCUGUUCGGCCUGAGGUCCGCUUGGACGGGUCUCGAUACCAACAGAAAUGCUUGUACUAAGUUGAUAGUCUAUCUAAUAUAAGUUAGUAAUGAAAAUGUAAAUAUGUUUGUAGAUAUACGUGGAAAAGUAGAUUUUUUUUCGAAUAAAAAUCGUGAUAAAUAUAUACCUGAAAAAAUGGUACACCACGUGGCAGUGAGCCUCGCUGAACUUGACCCCAUAUAGAGGCAGCCCGAAGGCUACAAUUAACACAAAUCGUAAUAAAAACAAAGAUAACUCAUACACUCUCUAAAAAACUCAUUUGUCUAGUCUCAUAUUUCCACACACCCUUCCCUUUCAUCUCGGUUUCAGAAACCCUUCAAAAAGGUUAAGAUAUGCUUCCGCCCGCCAUGUGCUUGUGUUCACCCGAUGGCUCGACACUCCUAUGCGAACAUAGUUCAUUGAAGACAUCCUUCUUCCCCUCCUCCCCGAAAGAAGACAAGGAUCGAAAUCGCCAACAAUCAACUAAGUCGACUAGUCAGACGUGGGACAAACGUAGGGUAGCCACCGCCACCCUUCCACCCCAAAAGAGUUUUGUUCCUUAGGGUAUCUUACCAUACCCAAUUUGGGAUCCGGACCCACUAUUAAGUAACAUCCGUUGGGGGGUUAUUUUGGAUACCCCCUCUAUCUCAUACAACAAAUAACAUGUCCUCCAUAGUUGAGUUUCUAGAUUUAAAUGUAGAUAUAUCAUAGACAAUACGUACAUCCACAACUAUACGCCGUACUAGCUCUGGUGUCGGUAAAGAUCUGCUCUUAUGCUUCCUCCGAUUACGCUCACCCCAAAUUGUCCAUGUGGUUGACUCAAGUAUAGUCCAACACAUGCCCCAUGCAGGUGAUCGUCGUGUUCUCGUGUCUCCCCAGUUCAUAUAUGAUUCGAUCUUUACAUUUGUCGUUGUCAAAAAAUCCCCUACAUGCCUACAGAUCUUCCUCCAUACAUCUCUGGAAUAACUGCAUCCGAAGUAUAUAUGGUCGAAACUCUCCAGCUUUGUUGUGCACAACCAGCAUUGUUUAGGUUGAGGGUACCCCCACCCAAUCAGCUUGUCCCUGCAUCGUGAUCCUCCGAAGGUUAGCCCUCCACAUCGUCAUAGCAUACUUGUUGACGUCCGAUGCCCAUAUCCUUGUUGCUAUGUCUUCCCUUGGUGAUGUGGAGUGAGUUACUAUACUUUAUAUCAAUUAGUAAUUGAGCCCAAUAAGAGUGGUUAAUACUUUGUAUUGUUAAUGUUUAUUGUUAGUCUAAUAAUUAGUUAAACAGAGUCACAAAUUCACAUGGUGGGCUUAGAAAGAGUUAGCCUUGACCAAUAUGAUCUUUCCGCAGGAGGAGGGAUUGCAAGAUUUUGGAAUGCUCCAGGUAUCAGCGAUGAUCAACAAAGCAACAAAAUUAUGGACCAGUAGCACAAUUUGGUCACGAUGGAUGAAAUCAAGGUACGUCCGCAACCAGUCGCUCAAUCAAAUAUAACCACGUUACAAUGAUUCACCGACAUGGAAAGGAAUUAUGAGAAAUAGAAAGGCCACCUACAAAUGCACGACAUAUAAUGGAAAUUAUGAAAUCAACUGGAUAAGAAGCAUCGGCAGACUGACAAUCCUGCAGUAGAAAUUUGGGGGGCCAAGGUCAACAAAAUGAAUCUACUAAUGUGGAGGUUGUGUUGGAGGAAUAUCCCAACUAUGGACAAAAUCCAGAAGAGAUGAGUGACAGGUCCGAUUAGGUUCAUGUUGUGUUCUAACGAUGCGGAGACGGUUGACCACGUCUUCUACAAUUGCGUAUUCUAGAGGGAAUUAAGUCAUCGAUGAAUGUCUGGUGGCAGCAGGAAACGUCGUCGUCACCAUAGGACCAGAUUGCACUUUCAAUUUUACUGCGAAAAUCGUCGUCGUCUGGUUUGAGCUCUGCACUGGUCGCUACUAGGAGCAAUAUUAUGGCACCUUUGGAAAGAGCGGAAUGCGAGGAUCGAAAAGGACAAAUUUGUUACCGGCGGAAUCCUGGCUAGAAAAGUGAUUAAUAGGGGAUUAGAUAGAUAUUUUAUGUUAAUUAGCUAUGGUAAUUUUGUAUAAAAUAAUAAAACUCAGCUAUUUACAAUUUUACAUUAAUAUCAAUGAAUCAACACUUGAAAAAAAAUAUUACUCAGCCAAUCCCAAAUUUCUAAAGGUCGUUAAAGGCAUACUAGAGACAUUCUCAGCCUUCACAGGUCUAACAAUCAAUCCUCAAAAAAGUUCUAUCACCUUCUCCAAGAUAUGUGAAAGCUCCACAGAACUCCAACAGAUCUUUGAUUUCCCAGUUUCUAAACUCCCCAUAGUUUAUCUAGGCCUCCCCAUAAGUCAUAACAGGGAAAAAAAAAUCUUACAACUAAUGUUGAAAGUUAAUACAACCCAUAGAAGGCUUGCUAGCUAAAUGGAGGGGCAAAUACCUCUCCUAUGGAGGUAGAAUCCAACUAGUAAACUGGAUACUAGCUGGAAAAUACACAUACUGGGCCCAAGGCAUCAAUCUACCUUCCUCUGUCCACAAAAAAAUUCAAAGGCUGGCGUACCAGUUCAUUUGGGAUGGAAGGAGAGGGAUACCAUGGUCAUUAAUGAUUCUACCUAAGGAGGAGGGAGGAUUAGGAGUUAGAAACCUCCAAAUGAUAGCCUUUGUUGCUCCUAUUAAAAAAACAGCCACAAUAUGUGAUAAGCAAUCUAUAUUUGCACAAUGGAUGCAGAGAAGAUACACCAAAGGCAUGGCUCUUAACAAUAUUAGCCCUAAACACUCCAUUGACUCUGCCCAAUGGAAAGAGAUCUUAGACUCCAAAGAGAAAACCGAUCAAUGCUUGAAAUGCAGGGUCGAAAAUUCUCUAAUUUGAAAAAUUGGAAAUGGAAAACAGAACUUAAGAACCAUCAUUGAAGCCUUAAGAACCAAGGCCACUAAGGAUCCUCUAGCCAAAGGUAUAUGGUCUCAUAUGCCGACAAAAUUCUCAGUAAUGUUGUAGAGGAUAAAAAAUAAACAGAUCAAAACUCUACAGAUGUUCGUCGCAUGGGGUAUCUCCAUACAACUAACCUGCCUCCUCUGUGGUCAGGGAAUUGAGACCAUCAGCCACCUAUUUUUUAAUUGCCCAUAUAUUAGAAAACUUCUUCUACAACUCUCUGAAUAUCUCAACCAGGCCCUUUGGAAAAUAUCAAACUCUCCCUCCGACCCUCACACAUCUAGAUAUUAGAUUUGGAGAUGUAAUAGAAUCAUGUCAAAAACUGACGCAUCAGACUCCUCCAUGGGGCCUACAUUGAAAUGUUAUUGGUUGUCUCACAUGACACAUUUAGUCUGAACGAAACAGGAGGCAUCGCCAACACCCUCUCAGACCCCAGAAGUAAUUUUAGCUGAUAUAGUAAAGACUGUAGAAUAUCUUUUAAAGCUGAUAUCUUUAAGAAAAAAUGUGGUUCACAAUUGGAAAAGACUAUUAUGCAGGUUUGGGAGACAACCUUCCUGAGGCCAAAUUUUUAGUUAGAACACUGGGAAGGAUAGUUAUAUAGAAGAAGGUCGAUAUAUUGGAUAUCAUAAUAUCAACCCCAUCGCAUUUUAUUUUCUUAUUCAAUUGUAUUUGAACUUUUAAUAUUUGUAAAAAAAAAAACACUUCAAAAAAAUGGAAUAAAUUAUUUCUGACUUUUUUGACGGUUGAAGAGAAAUCGAUAAAUAAUGAACGGUGUUGACUGUUGAGUAGAAAGAAGUUCACACAAUCACACCUUUCUUUUAACAAAAUUUACUAAUUACAAAAAUAAAAUUAUCUUUUACGUACAUGUAAUUUGUAAUUUGACCAAGGUGUGGGCUGGAUUUAAAUUCUAGUUUGCGAACAAAAUCCGCGAUCUGAGAAUCCGAGAUCUGUUCGGUCGUCUCAGAUCUCGUUCUCCGUUCAUACCUGCAAUCAGUUCCGAUUCUCUUCUCACCCAAGGUACGACGAACGCUCCCUUUCUUCUUCUUCUCGUCCGAGAUCCAUAAGAUCCACAACUAUCCAGAAUUCACCGGUCAUGUUCUUAUUUUAGGGGGUUUUGUCCCAAAUAAUUUUUCUCAUUCUGAUCGGUAGAUUUUUUGUGUGUGUGAAGAUGAGUGAGAAACCGUGCACGUUGCUCGUCCACUUCGACAAGAGUGCACCGGCUCUUGCCAAUGAGAUCAAGGAAGCGCUGGAGGGGAGCGAUGUCGGUUCCAAGAUCGAUGCGAUGAAGAAGGCUAUCAUGAUUCUGCUUAACGGGGAAAGCAUCCCGCAUCUAUUCAUCACCAUCAUCCGCUACGUACUCCCUUCCGAAGACCACACAAUCCAGAAGCUCCUCCUUCUGUACCUCGAGAUCAUUGAUAAGAAGGACUCUUCCGGAAAGGCACUUCCGGAAAUGAUCUUGAUUUGCCAGAAUUUGAGGAAUAAUCUUCAGCAUCCCAAUGAGUAUAUCCGGGGCGUUACACUUAGGUUUCUUUGUAGGCUCAAUGAGACUGAAAUUAUCGAGCCGUUGAUCCCCUCAGUUCUCUCCAAUUUGGAGCAUAGACAUCCGUUUAUAAGGAGAUACGCUAUUCUUGCAAUCAUGUCUAUCUACAACCUCCCUAAUGGGGAUCAGCUUCUGGUUGAUGCUCCUGAGAUGAUUGAGAAGGCAUUGUCUAGUGAACAUGAUGCCUCUGCCAAGAGGAAUGCUUUCUUGAUGUUGUUUCAGUGUGCACAAGAUCGAGCUGUGAAUUAUCUUUUGUCACAUGUAGACAAUGUUGCUGAUUGGGGUGAGUUGAUGCAAAUGGUUGUUCUAGACCUGAUCCGUAAGGUAUGUCGGACAAACCGUGGUGAGAAAGGCAAGUACAUUAAAAUCAUAAUUUCACUGUUGAAUGUACCUUCCACAGCUGUUGUAUCUGAAUGUGCCGGAACACUUGUGUCGCUGUCGUCUGCACCUACUGCUAUCAGAGCUGCUGCCAAUACCUACUGCCAGCUUCUUGUCUCGCAGAGUGAUAACAAUGUGAAACUUAUUGUGUUGGACAGGCUUAAUGAGCUUAAAGUCUUACACAGAGAGAUCAUGGUCGAUAUGAUAAUGGAUGUGCUCAGGGCUCUUUCUAGUCCUAAUCUUGAUAUCCGCAGGAAGACAAUUGAUAUUGUUCUCGAACUUAUAACCUCUAAGAACAUUGAUGAGGUUGUACUUACACUUAAGAAAGAAGUUAUGAAGACACAGAGCGGAGAGCUAGAAAAUAGUGGGGAAUAUAGGCAGAUGCUUAUUCAAGCUAUACACACAUGUGCUAUCAAGUUCCUUGAGGUUGCCAGCACAGUUGUCCAUCUAUUGAUGGACUUCUUAGGAGAUAGCAAUGUGGUUUCAGCUCUUGAUGUUGUCCUGUUUGUGCGUGAGAUUAUUGAAUCGAACCCCAAGCUUCGGGUGUCUAUUAUUACAAGAAUGUUAGACACUUUUUACCAGAUCCGUGCUGCACGCGUGUGUUCAAGUGCUCUCUGGAUAAUUGGGGAAUACUGUCUCUCUCUAUCUGAAGUGGAGUCUGGGAUUUCUACAAUUAAGCAGUGCAUUGGUGAUCUUCCAUUGUACACUGUUAGCGACGAAACCGAGACAACACCAGAUAAACAAGUGAAUUCUCAGAAAAUAAACUCUUCUGCUGUUGCCUCAUCUAGAAAGCCUGCUGUUCUUGCUGACGGAACGUAUGCUACACAAAGUGCUGCCUCUGAAACUGCAGUUUCUGCUCCAACUCUUGUUUCUGGAACUCUAUCAUCACCAGGGAAUUUGAGAUCAUUGAUCCUCACUGGGGAUUUUUUCUUAGGUGCCAUUGUUUCAUGCACCUUGACAAAACUUAUCCUGAGACUUGGAGAAGUGCAACCAUCUAAAGUUGAAGUCAACAAAGCAUGUACAAAUGCCUUGCUAAUUAUGGUUUCCAUGCUACAAUUGGGGCAGUCAUCAUAUCUUCAACACCCAAUUGACAAUGAUUCUUAUGAUAGGAUAUUAGUGUGCAUAAGGUUACUCUGCAAUACUGAUAAUGAAGUUAGGAAGAUAUGGUUGGAGUCGUGCCGUCAGAAUUUUGCAAAAAUGCUGGCAGAAAAACAAUUUCGUGAGAUUGAGGAGAUAAAGGCAAAGGUUCAAGUAUCUCAUGCACAACCCGACGAUCUCAUUGACUUCUACCAUUUGAAGAGUAGAAAGGUAUGUUUUGUAAUAUUUAUUGUCAUCAAAUUACUUUGAUUUUAACUCCAGUAUUGAUUUUUUAAUCUUUGAUUUGAGCCAUACGGAGAAUAGUCAAGCUAUCUAAAUUUACCAAUCCAAAACACUGAAAAAUAUUCAUACAGAUUCUAUUAUUAUCAAAUCAUUCAAAUAUCAAUAUGGAUAAUAUCUCAAUCAGGUUUUCAUUCGGUAAAUUGUUUGAAUUUGUCUUUUAUGGUUAUUUAGUUUUUUGGCUAUUCCAGCUGAUUGGCCUUUGGAUGAUAAUUAUAUAACCUAAUAAACUUAUAAACCUAUAGGCCAUGGUGUAAAUAGUCAUCUUACACUAAAGAUUAGAUGAAUUUUGUCUCAUAUUAUUUCUUUUGGACUCAAAAAACAAUAUAUAGAUAGAAUAAUCAAUCAUCAAUUACAGAUUGCUUGACUAUUCUUCGAUUUCACAGGGCAUGAGCCAGCUUGAGUUGGAGGAUGAGGUUCAAGAUGAUUUAAAACGUGCAACUGGAGAGUUUGUAAAUGAUGGCGACGAAGCUAAUAAACUCAACCGAAUCAUGCAACUUACGGGAUUCAGUGAUCCUGUGUAUGCUGAAGCAUAUGUCACAGUUCAUCAUUAUGAUAUUGUUCUUGAUGUUACUGUCAUUAAUCGGACGAGGAAUACUCUUCAGAAUUUAUGCCUGGAAUUGGCAACCAUGGGAGAUUUAAAACUUGUGGAAAGACCACAGAAUUACACACUGGCACCAGAAUCGACCAAGCAAAUUCGAGCCAAUAUUAAGGUUUCUUCAACUGAAACUGGAGUUAUAUUUGGUAAUAUUGUUUAUGAAACCUCAAAUGUUAAUGAACGGACAGUCAUUGUCCUUAGUGACAUUCACAUUGAUAUUAUGGACUACAUUUCUCCUGCUACAUGCUCUGACGUAGCAUUCAGAAGUAUGUGGGCAGAAUUUGAGUGGGAAAAUAAGGUAAACCAUCCUAUUUUUAAAAUUUUGCAUUUCAGUUUUUACAGUGAAAUUAUGCUGCAUCACAAAUUAUAAUAGUUGAUCAGUUGAUAAAUCAAUGAUGCUAUAUUUCUCGCACAUGCCUACAUUACUGCAUACAAAUUUUCGUUUGCUUAAUGUUUUGAAUUCCCGUUAUAAUUUAUAACCCAAAUACCUGUCAUUUGUUAUUUCCAAUUUCUAUCAAGUAUCAAAGUAAUCAAACUAUCAACCCUGGUCUUCUUAUAGCCAAUGUUUGAAUUAUGCAUGCGAUAGCACGAUUUAAUCCCGUAGCGUAUUUUCUAGCGCUAAAAUGAAAAAUCAUUCCAUUUCAUUCGGGUAAUCAUGUGGAUCCGGGAGAGAUUUUCCAUGUUACCUUAAUAAAUCAUUAAUGUCCCUUAAAUAAAUCAUGAUUUCAUCCAAAUAGUGCCAAUUACAAGAGCUUCCAACUGGCCAACAAUCACUGCUGGCCUUCGGAGAUUACUUUGGUCUCCGGUGAGCUCUUAUUCGCCUUCUCUGACGAACUUUGUUGCUUCUCUGCUCUCCAAAGUUUGAUCUCCAGCUCUUCAUUUUUUUAAAUAGAUUGUUAAUUAAACCCCGAUGGCUUGAUCUUUUAUUACUUUUCUACUAUAGACAUAUUUUAAUGUGUUAGUUAACUUAGUUUGCUACUCUGUUAUCUAUAUAAACUAUACCUAUUUUAAUAUAUUAGAUUGUUUUAAAUAAACAUUUUUUAGAACAAUGGACUACUAUGUAUAAUUAUUAAAAAUGGACUAGCUUCAGUUGAGAUAUUUAUUUGUGAGAUCCCAUGAGAUAUUUUAAUCCCAGCCGUUCUUUAUAAAUCAAAUGAUUGAGAAAAAGAAUGCAUUGAUAUUUAAAAAAAAAUGCAUUGAGAGAAAAAAUGCAUUGAUAUGAAAUCUCACAAGUAAAUAUCUCACCUGAACUCCUGAAGUGUUUUCUAUUAAAAAUAUAGCUGGCGUUAUAUAGCAUACCAUAACCCCUGUUAUUCCAUAACGUGGAUAAUUCAAACCUUGCGUUAUUGUAGUACAUUUACUAUCAUCUUAUUUAUUCUCGAACGUUAUAGCAUGACAUAACCCCGGUUAUUCCAUAGUAUGGAAUGGAUAACUCAAACAUUGUGUUAUCGACUUAUCGUGGUAAAUUUCAUUACAUUUACUAUCAUAUUAUUUAUUAUCGGAUGUUAUAGCACGACAUAACCCCGGUUAUUCCAUAGUGUUCCGUAGCGUGAAAUGGAUAACUCAAACAUUGUGUUAUCAACUUAUCGUGGUAAAAUUUAUUACAUUUUCUAUCUUAUUUAUUAUUUGACGUUAUAGCAUGUCAUAUCCCCGGUGGAAUGGAUAACUCAAACCUUGUUAUCGUAGUAAAUUUCAUUACAUAUACUAUUAUCUUAUUUAUUAUUGCCUGUUCAAUUAUUUUAUUAUAAUGUGCAUAUUUCAGGUCCAUUUUCAUAUUUCAUCUUCAUUGUUUGUCUUUUGUUUAUAACUGUUAAUGGCUCUGUCCUGCAUUUCAGGUGGCUGUGAACACUGUUAUUCAAGACGAGCAGCAAUUCUUGGGUCAUAUUAUAAAGUCAACAAACAUGAAAUGCCUCACAGCACCGUAAAUUCUGAGACCUUUUAUUUUUUAGCUAUUAUACAAUCUCUUUUAUUAUCAGCAAUUAUCUAUACCGUAUUUUCUUUUGCUCUGUCUUCAUGAAAAUUUGAUUAUAUUAUCCCAAAUUUGCACAUUCGUGCUAAACGUUAGCUUUGGUUAAAAUGUUCUUCUGUUUGUUGCUCGAAUCAGGUCUGCAUUGGAUGGACAAUGUGGUUUCCUCGCAGCAAAUCUAUAUGCUAAGAGUGUAUUCGGAGAGGAUGCUCUAGUAAAUGUAAGUAUUGAGAAGCAAACUGAUGGGAAGUUAAGCGGGUACAUAAGAAUAAGGAGCAAGACGCAAGGUAUUGCUCUAAGCUUAGGAGACAAGAUCACAAUCAAACAGAAGGGAGGUUCUUAGAAGAAGAAGAAGAAUUAACCACCAGGUUUUACUUUUUAUGAGCUUGCGUUUAUUUUUGGAUCAACCGUCUCUUAUUCCGAUUUCCAAAACUACCUUUCGCUUGCAAUAAAUACCAAUACUUCUUUAUAACGCACCACACUCGAGUCGCUCUUGAUACAAAGAUUUCUUUCACUUGUAUUGGAAUUUGAAAAGAAAUGUUUAGUUAGCAGUCAAUUAUUUGUGUAAGGGUUACAUAUUUACU
rnacentral:lncRNA from 1 species